AUUGAACGCUGGCGGCAUGCCUUACACAUGCAAGUCGAACGGCAGCACGAAAGAACUUGCUCCUUUGGUGGCGAGUGGCGAACGGGUGAGUAAUGUAUCGGAACCUACCCAGUAAUGGGGGAUAACUCUUCGAAACGAUAGCUAAUACCGCAUACGCUUUCAGAAGGAAAGUGGGGGCUCUUCGGACCUCUUGCUCUUCGAUCUGCCGAUGUCUGAUUAGCUAGUUGGUGGGGUAAAGGCCCACCAAGGCGACGAUCAGUAGCUGGUCUGAGAGGAUGAUCAGCCACACUGGAACUGAGACACGGUCCAGACUCCUACGGGAGGCAGCAGUGGGGAAUAUUGGACAAUGGGCGCAAGCCUGAUCCAGCCAUGCCGCGUGUAUGAAGAAGGCCUUCGGGUUGUAAAGGACUUUUGUUAGGGAAGAAAAGAAUAAAGUUAAUACCAUUAUCUGCUGACGGUACCUAAAGAAUAAGCACCGGCUAACUACGUG
rnacentral:rRNA from 1 species